AUAUAAACUAUUAUUUAUUACAAAAGAACCUACGCUUAAUUAUAUAACUUUGUACAAUACUAGAAAAUAAUUUAACAUGUCUCAGAUUUUUUUUGUUUGGGACUGUGAAAAGGUACUUAACCCUGGACAACUAACCUUCGUCAAAUCGACGAAUACGCGACACAAAAUAGGCUAUAUCUUUUUAAAGCGGGCGCCAGUGAUCGUGUCGCGACUUGUCAACUCAGUGCCUCUCGCGCUCUUUCAGAAAGCGGUUGUGUGCGGCAGUUUUCUUUGUGAUGGCUUCAAAACAACCACUAUCGGAAGAAAAUAUUACUAUAAUGUGUCAACUCUGGGACAAAAGAUAAUGAGCCGUCGUAAUUAUAUGAAAGAAUUGCAUUCCCAACUUGUAAAACCGUGGCUCGAAACACGACUGCAAAUGCCCACAAUGCCCACGCAUACAAAAACGAAAAUACAAAAUGUAUUAGGGAUUGGUACUGAUGUUGAAGGUGGUGAUCGUGACGAAGUGCAGUCAACGUCGAGAAAUGAGUCUGAAUCGACAGGUCAAAAUAUAAGAAAAAGGAAAAUUUGCGGUAUAUGUUCCUAUAAGAACACACAGAGAACUCACAGUGCAGCAUCGCAAUCUGCGGUGAACAUAAGAUUGAUUUCUGCACUAGUUAUGCAGACAAAAAAUAGCUUUUAUAUAUUUUUUUAUAUUACUUAGAUCUCGUUCUAUAAGUAAUUAAGAGAAAAAUAUGUUUUUUUUUUGUUUAAAUAUUUUUGUUAAUUUUCCAAAAAAGAACGUUUUUUUGAUCUCAUGAAAACCAAGUGCUUUACUAAAAAUGUUAAGUUUGAAUAAAUAUUUCUCAUUACUUUAUUUUUUGUAGUUUUAUUUGUAAAUGUAACCUAUGUUAUUUAAUUGUUCAGAAGAAUUUAGAUAAAAAACAGCAUAAUUCACCUAAAAAUACCGCGUUAAAAACAUGUUCGUCGAAACGACGAAUGGUUAGUUUUAAUAGGGUACUCUGGAAGGUUAGUGGUCUAGGGUUAAAGAAGAUAUACGAGUAGGUAUGAUUAUAUAAUCACAGAUUACUAUAAAAGUUACUUCGUGUUUGUAUAACAUAGUUCAAGUAAACUAGGAUUACAGGUAUACCACAGUAUACCUAGAUACUGUUACUCAGAAACUGAAUUGUAGGUCAGCUAGACAGUCGCUCCAUAUAAACACUACUACAUACUCAGUUGCUUUCGAUCAGACUGAAAAACAACCCCAACAUAGUCGAGACAAGGGUACGCAGAUUAAAAAGAAUAAACUAA
rnacentral:lncRNA from 1 species